rnacentral:rRNA from 1 species
GAUCCUGGCUCAGGAUGAACGCUGGCGGCGUGCUUAACACAUGCAAGUCGAACGAAGCACUUAAUGAGAUUUCUUCGGAUUGAUUAUUUUGUGACUGAGUGGCGGACGGGUGAGUAACGCGUGGGUAACCUGCCCCAGACCGGGGGAUAACAGUCGGAAACGACUGCUAAUACCGCAUAAGCGCACAGUGCCGCAUGGCACGGUGUGAAAAACUCCGGUGGUCUGGGAUGGACCCGCGUCCGA